rnacentral:rRNA from 1 species
AUGAACGCUGGCGGCGUGCUUAAUACAUGCAAGUCGAACGAAGCACUUACGACAGAUCCCUUCGGGGUGAAGAUGUUUGUGACUUAGUGGCGGACGGGUGAGUAACGCGUGGGUAACCUGCCUCAUGCAGGGGGAUAACAGUUAGAAAUGACUGCUAAUACCGCAUAAGCGCACGGAUUCGCAUGUUUCUGUGUGAAAAGAUUUAUCGGCAUGAGAUGGACCCGCGUCUGAUUAGGUAGUUGGUGGGGUAACGGCCUACCAAGCCGACGAUCAGUAGCCGACUUGAGAGAGUGAUCGGCCACAUUGGGACUGAGACACGGCCCAGACUCCUACGGGAGGCAGCAGUAGGGAAUAUUGCACAAUGGGGGAAACCCUGAUGCAGCGACGCCGCGUGAGUGAUGAAGUAUUUCGGUACGUAAAGCUCUAUCAGCAGGGAAGAUAAUGACGGUACCUGACUAAGAAGCCCCGGCUAACUACGUGCC